ACUUUCCAGCCUACGUAUACCCGCAAUUAUAGUGAACCGUAGCGAAGAAAAUUGCAUUGAGGUGAUGCGUAUAUGUGAUAUGUUAAAUCUUGGUAAAUGCGAAGUUUCGGAUCGGAAUGUUAAGAUGAUUAAAGGACUCUGUCUUUUCUAA